rnacentral:tRNA from 1 species
GGAGAGUUGCCGGAGUGGUCGAACGGGGCAGUCUCGAAAACUGUUGACCGCUUUAUGUGGUCCGAGGGUUCGAAUCCCUCACUCUCCG